rnacentral:rRNA from 1 species
GACGUAGGGGGCAAGCGUUGUUCGGAAUUAUUGGGCGUAAAGAGCUCGUAGGCGGUCUGUCGCGUCUGCUGUGAAAACUCGGGGCUUAACCCCGGGCCUGCAGUGGGUACGGGCAGACUAGAGUGCGGUAGGGGAGACUGGAAUUCCUGGUGUAGCGGUGAAAUGCGCAGAUAUCAGGAGGAACACCGAUGGCGAAGGCAGAUCUCUGGGCCGUAACUGACGCUGAGGAGCGAAAGCAUGGGGAGCGAACAGG